rnacentral:piRNA from 1 species
UGAACUAGUGAUUUUCAAUAC